AAUUUUGGACAAUGGGCGCAAGCCUGAUCCAGCCAUGCCGCGUGAGUGAAGAAGGCCUUCGGGUUGUAAAGCUCUUUCGGACGGAAAGAAAUCGCGCGGGCUAAUACCCUGCGCGGAUGACGGUACCGUCAUAAGAAGCACCGGCUAACUACGUGCCAGCAGCCGCGGUAAUACGAAGGGUGCAAGCGUUAAUCGGAAUUACUGGGCGUAAAGCGCGCGUAGGUGGUUUGUUAAGUUGGAAGUGAAAUCCCCGGGCUUAACCUGGGAACUGCGCUUGUGACUGGUCAGCUAGAGUACGGCAGAGGGGGGUGGAAUUCCACGUGUAGCAGUGAAAUGCGUAGAGAUGUGGAGGAACACCGAUGGCGAAGGCAGCCCCCUGGGCCGAUACUGACGCUCAUGCACGAAAGCGUGGGUAGCAAACAGG
rnacentral:rRNA from 1 species